CCAGGGGAAAGGCCAGAAGUCCCUUUCGGAGGACCGAGCGAAGAUCCUCUGGAAGGAAUCUUCCGACGAAUGCUUGAAAUGCAGAGGAGCCUCGGCUUGCCCAUUCCAGAGGAGCUCUUCCGAACCUACGAAGAUAAGCAGGAAGGCCACAGCUCUGGCUUUCUCAACCG
rnacentral:RNase_MRP_RNA from 1 species